rnacentral:rRNA from 1 species
GAUCAUGGCUCAGGAUGAACGCUGGCGGCGUGCCUAACACAUGCAAGUCGAACGAAGCACUGGAAACGGAGAUUCGUCGAAGUUUCUUGACUUAGUGGCGGACGGGUGAGUAAUGUAUGAGCAACCUGCCUUUCAGAGGGGGACAACAGUUGGAAACGACUGCUAAUACCGCAUAAUGUAUUUGGGUGGCAUCACCUGGAUACCAAAGGAGCAAUCCGCUGAAAGAUGGGCUCAUAUCUGAUUAGCUAGUUGGCGGGGUAACGGCCCACCAAGGCGACGAUCAGUAGCCGGACUGAGAGGUUGAACGGCCACAUUGGGACUGAGAUACGGCCCAGACUCCUACGGGAGGCAGCAGUGGGGAAUAUUGAGCAAUGGGCCGAAAGCCUGACCCAGCAACGCCGCGUGAAGGAAGAAGGUCUUCGGAUUGUAAACUUCUUUUAUGGGGGACGAAGGACCUGACGGUACCUCAUGAAUAAGCCACGGCUAACUACGUGCCAGCCGCCGC